rnacentral:rRNA from 1 species
GAUGAACGCUGGCAGCGCGCCUAACACAUGCAAGUCGAACGAUUAAAGCACCUUCGGGUGUGUAUAAAGUGGCGAACGGCUGAGUAACACGUGGGCAACCUGCCCCUUUCAUUGGGAUAGCCACGGGAAACCGUGGAUAAUACCGAAUACUUCGAGACUUCCGCAUGGAAGACUCGAGAAAGCUCCGGCGGAGAGGGAUGGGCCCGCGGCCUGUUAGCUUGUUGGUGGGGUAACGGCCUACCAAGGCAAUGAUGGGUAGCUGGGUUGAGAGACCGACCAGCCAGAUUGGGACUGAGACACGGCCCAGACUCCUACGGGAGGCAGCAGUGGGGAAUCUUGCACAAUGGGCGAAAGCCUGAUGCAGCGACGCCGCGUGCGGGAUGAAGGCCUUCGGGUUGUAAACCGCUUUCAGCAGGGACGAGGCGAAAGUGACGGUACCUGCAGAAGAAGCCCCGGCUAACUACGUG